UAGGGAAUAUUGCACAAUGGGGAAGACCCUGAUGCAGCGACGCCGCGUGAAGGAAGAAGUAUCUCGGUAUGUAAACUUCUAUCAGCAGGGAAGACAAUGACGGUACCUGACUAAGAAGCCCCGGCUAACUACGUGCCAGCAGCCGCGGUAAUACGUAGGGGGCAAGCGUUAUCCGGAUUUACUGGGUGUAAAGGGAGCGUAGACGGCUGUGCAAGUCUGAAGUGAAAGCCCGGGGCUCAACCCCGGGACUGCUUUGGAAACUGUGUAGCUUGAGUGCUGGAGAGGUAAGUGGAAUUCCUAGUGUAGCGGUGAAAUGCGUAGAUAUUAGGAGGAACACCAGUGGCGAAGGCGGCUUACUGGACAGUAACUGACGCUGAAGCUCGAAAGUGUGGGUACUCGAACGAGGUAUUGAGCAUACCC
rnacentral:rRNA from 1 species